rnacentral:rRNA from 1 species
GUACUCUACAAUAUUGUACUUCCACCUUUUUACUUUUUCCUCAAAUCAAGUAGGACUACCCGCUGAACUUAAGCAUAUCAAUAAGCGGAGGAAAAGAAACCAACAGGGAUUGCCUUAGUAACGGCGAGUGAAGCGGCAAAAGCUCAAAUUUGAAAUCCCCUCGGGGAAUUGUAAUUUGAAGAUUGUGUUUUGGAGACGACCAUGUCUAUGUUCCUUGGAACAGGACGUCACAGAGGGUGAGAAUCCCGUGCGGCAUGGCCCCCGUCUCCUUAUAAAGCACUCUCGACGAGUCGAGUUGUUUGGGAAUGCAGCUCAAAGUGGGUGGUAAAUUCCAUCUAAAGCUAAAUACAGGCGAGAGACCGAUAGCGAACAAGUACAGUGAUGGAAAGAUGAAAAGCACUUUGAAAAGAGAGUGAAACAGUACGUGAAAUUGUUGAAAGGGAAGGGCAUGCCGUCAGAUUGUCAGUGUGGGUAAGAAGCCGGGUAUAAAGACUAAGGAAUGUGGCCUUCGGGUGUUAUAGCCUUAGUUCAUCCCCGGUCUCUUUCCGAGGCCUGCUUUGAGGACACCGACGUAAUGACGGUACGCCGCCCGUCUUGAAACACGGACCAAGGAGUCUAACGUCUAUGCGAGUGUGUGGGUGUAAAACCCAAACGCGUAAUGAAAGUGAACAGAUGAGUUUCAUCAUCGACCGAUCCUGAAGUGUUCGGAUGGAUUUGAGUAAGAGCAUAGCUGUUGGGACCCGAAAG